rnacentral:rRNA from 1 species
UACGGGGGGGGCAAGCGUUGUUCGGAAUUACUGGGCGUAAAGGGCUCAUAGGCGGCCAACUAAGUCAGACGUGAAAGCCCCCGGCUCAACUGGGGAGGGUCACUCGAUACUGAUCGACUUGAAGGCAGGAGAGGGAAGUGGAAUUCCCGGUGUAGUGGUGAAAUGCGUAGAUAUCGGGAGGAACACCAGUGGCGAAGGCGACUUCCUGGCCUGUUCUUGACGCUGAGGCGCGAAAGCUAGGGGAGCAAACGGG